CGAGGCGGGACAUCGCUGUGGCCGGUGAUAGGCUGGAGGCUCUGUGACGUUCCAUCCCCAGGACCACAGCAAGAACAGCGGAGGGACCAUGAGGCCGGUUCCUUAGCAAUGCGGGAACGGAGGACGAAGGCUAUGUUUAAGAGACUGCGAAGAGACCAAUGGAGUGCACAAUUGCAUUCUUUAACAUUAAAUGGAUGUCACCUUUUUGGAUAGUUGUGGAUGAAUGAAAAGAGAAAUCAAGCCUCAACCACUUAAAGUAUAAGCUAAUUCAACCAUAUCGGUGCUGGAAUCAAAUCAUCUGCAAAAAAGCCCCAUGUUAUGCCAUCAGGUUUCCCUUCCAGAAAAAAAAAAGAUGAUUUAGAAUAUUUGAUUCCUUGUUAAUAAUUGUGAAAUUACCCGACUGAUUUGACUCCAGCCAUUAUCCCGGUUAGAUCAGGCUGAAUUAGAUUAAAGUUUUGAGAACCAGCUGGAGUACAAAUGAUCU